GCUGGGUGUGGUGGCGGGCGCCUGUAAUCCCAGCUACUCAGGAGGCUGAGGCAGGAGAAUUGCUUGAACCCGGGAGACAGAGGUUGCAGUGAGCCAACAUCGUGCCACUGCACUCCAGCCUGGGCGACAGAGCAAGACUCUGUCUCAA
rnacentral:SRP_RNA from 1 species